AUUUCUGUAGUGUAGUGGUUAUCACAUUCACCUCCCAUGGGAAAGGUCCCCAGUUCAAAACCGGGUGGAAACA
rfam:Sus scrofa isolate TJ Tabasco breed Duroc chromosome 1, whole genome shotgun sequence.